rnacentral:lncRNA from 1 species
GGGUGGUACCACUCCCUCAUACAAUGUUUUUAACUUGAAAUUAGGACCCAAAUAGUACUAUUUGCUUUGGUAACAAUUUUUUUAAAUUUUCAUUUAAUUUACAAAAAAAAAAAAAAAAAUGUGUGUAUGGGGCCUGCCUGCUCCAUGCCUGUAUAGUCCUCAGAGGCCAGAGGAGGGCAUUGGGUUGCCCUGGGGUUGGAGUUGCAGAUGACUGAGAGCUGCCAUGUGGCUGCUGGUCCUUGUGGCCCCUGGGAAAGGAUUGUGUGACCCCCAAAGAGGUCUUCACCCGUAGGUUGAGAGCUGUGGCUCUGGACCGUGUGCCUGGUGCCCUCCCCUCCUACUUGCUCGCUGUGAAGACUCAUUGACCACACCACUUGGUGUUUACGGUGUUACGGUGGCCAAAUGUGCUGGGGUUUGGAAAUAUUUGAUUCAACACAGGAGAAAGGAGAAAGGGCAGGAAGGGUUGGGGCUUGGAGUAGAGGGCGAAGUGAACAGGCAAGGCUCUUCUGCAUCCUUCUCAUCUGUGCGCUGGAUGCUAGCCAGAGAUGCCACUUUUUUUGUCCACUGAAGCUUACAGGUUGCCACAUAAAGGAAUUCUGGGUUAAGACUGAUGGACCCUCCUCUGCAGCUUAUGACUAGGGUGGGAUACAGAGCAGCCUGCGGCUUGGAGUUGAAAAGAGACUUGUAUGGUGGUGGGUGAAGGAAGGAAGGAGGAAGGAGCGCCCAGUAAGCGCAUCUUUGACAGACUCGUGUCUUUCCACACUCAGUUGCUGGCAACUGAUUCGGGAACCCCGAAUCUUCUUUCCUUUCAAAUUUGAAAAGUAAAUGGACCAACCCACUGCUAAUGUGUAAAUUUUGAAAAUCCAAAUUGCAUCACUGUCUUAAUGGGUCCUUUGUGUGUGGUGGAUGCGAACCGAGUGUUGGUUAGGUCAGUCAAAGGCUAAACUCAACAAGAGAGCGUAAGUUGAGCUACUCUCCUAUUUUAGUUUUAUUGGGAUUUCAAAAAAAAAAAAAAUUAUACCCUGAGCUACCAACAACCGGAGAUAAUCAAUUUUCCAGUUGAACUAGAAAUAAUGAGAGAAGCAAGCUGCUACAUUUUGAAGAAUAAUAUAAAUACGUGAAUUACUUAGAACAGCAGAACCAAAACAAACAGAAACAAGAACCCCACCGCCAUGCCACUCAGCUCUGAUCUCCAGAAUGAUACCACCACGGUCAUGGCUGCUGGGGGUGGUUCCUUCCAGAGGGUCACCAUCUGCUGCCAGGUGACACGGGGCAGCCGCUGAGUGGGAGUGGCGUCGGAGCCUGUGUCUGGUUUUUAAUGACUCGGGGAAGUGUUUAACUUAAACCUAACUAUGAUGUCUCCCAAGAAUAACCCUAGAAAUAUUGUUGUUCUGAGCACCACUGUGCUCGCUGGAGCGGGCAGGGCACUAAUAGCUGCUUGCUUGGUACACUUGAAUGACUAAGGUUUCUUCUAUGACUUUAAGGGUCUGUAGUCUGCAGUUUAAUUUUGCUACAAGAUUCAGGACAAUGGUUGGUUUUUCAAGAAAGACUGUUAUUUAUAAACAGGCUAUUUGUUUUGAGCUGCAAAUUGCUAAGUUGUCAGCUCCAGUCAGCCAUUGUGACAUGUGGUCUCCCAAGCAAGCUGUAUUUAAAUUUAAUGAGAGGAAGCCUGGUGCAUUGCAAAGUGUGGAAGCUGCCUGCAGGCCCUGCUCAGCCCUGUAAAUGGCACUUGCUUCCUUUUCUGGGUGAAAUCCUAUAGAAAAGGAGGCAUUCUCUGUGUAGGGGUGUG